AUUAUAUUGGCAGAUUAGUGCUUUGAAUUUAGAAUUCAAUUAUGUAAAUUAUUACAUAUAAUA
rnacentral:tRNA from 1 species